UACAUAGGUCUCAAGCGUUGUUCGGAUUCAUUGGGCGUAAAGGGCGCGUAGGCGGCGGGGUAAGUCUGGUGUGAAAUCUCGGAGCUCAACUCCGAAAUUGCACUGGAUACUGCUCUGCUUGAGGGUUGGAGAGGAGAUCGGAAUUCACGGUGUAGCAGUGAAAUGCGUAGAUAUCGUGAGGAAGACCAGUGGCGAAGGCGGAUCUCUGGACAAAUCCUGACGCUGAGGCGCGAAGGCUAGGGGAGCAAACGGG
rnacentral:rRNA from 1 species